UUUCCGUAGGUGAACCUGCGGAAGGAUCAUUAAAGAACGCCCCGUUUUUUGAAAUGGGUAAUUCUAAACCGUGUAUAUAUACCUUUGUUGCUUUGGCAGGCCGCCCCUCAGGGCGUCGGCUCCGGCUGACUGCGCCUGCCAGAGGACCCAAACUCUUUUGUUUAGUGAUGUCUGAGUACUAUAUAAUAGUUAAAACUUUCAACAACGGAUCUCUUGGUUCUG
rnacentral:misc_RNA from 1 species